UACCCAUAUGGGAUCCUGGUGUGUGCAAGGCAAGUACUUUAGCUGCUAAGCUACCAUGCUGGCCUCUACAUCUGAUUCCUUAACCUCAUCUCGACCACCACUGAUGAGCUCCAGCCUUGGAGCCUUGUCCAGCCCAUGGGCCGUCGCCAUAGUCAUGCUCCUUGAAAUACAGUGUUCUCAGCACUCUUGAAUCUCCAAUUAUUGCGACUUAAAGUCCUGACAAAACGCCAGCCCUGGAUAAGCCUUGUCAUCUGCUUGCCACGGGCCUGACAAAGGCCAACUGAGAAGUGUCUAGAACAGCGACACAACUCCACCAACUAGUUUCACUUUCAAACCAUCUUGGGCCUCGCGUUGGGGCUGUUGCGCCUUCCUGAUUCUCUUCUAUGCUGCUGUUCGUACAUUCUCAUCCCCCCCGAAUGUCUCGGGUCCUUUCUCCCCACUUCACAUUCCCCCAAGAAAACAGAAAUCCCUGUGUACAAGCUUCAGUCUCCACACUGCAGGAGCCUGCCACCUGCUUGUCUGGCCAGCCGUCGUCCUUGCCCCAGAGGAAGGCGCUGAGGCCAAGCCAUGCUGCUGGCUUCCCAGGAGGGCUUCUGAGGAAGGCCGCAUCUUCUCGCAGACUUGGUCCCUCGUUUUCUUCACACCGCCAGUUGAGCACACUGUACCCAUUCGCCCAGCUCUCCUGUGUAAUUGUACUUUGUGGAGUUUCACUUCAGUCUGCAAGCAGGGGGAUGGUCUCCACUAUUGCCCUGCAAUGCCCAUGCCAAGGUCACCGGCCACUUCCGGAUUAGCUGUUCCAUCAGUGUGGUUUCCUGUCCUCGCCUUCUUCCUCUCUGAUUUUUUGGGUUACUCUUUAUUCUUUAUGUGUACUUCAAGAGUCUAUUCUUGAUCAGUGCUCAGUUUUCUAUUUGUUCUGUCUAAUUUUUAAAAGUUAGAACUGCUCCUCUCUAUUUUGGUCCCUCCUCUCUGUUCUUUCUUUUGAUAAUCAUCAUUUUCCAUGCAUUUGAGUACCAUCCUUAUGUUUAUGAGUUUCAAAUGUAUGUUUCCCACUUAGACCUUUCCUCUAAGUUCUAGACUCGUGCAUCUGGUUGCUUCCUUAAUGAGCAACGGAUCUCUUAAGCUUAACAUUUCCCAAAUCUGUUUUUUUCAUCUUCCCUAUUGCAAUAAAUAGCAGCACCAUUAGCUGAUGACUCAAGCUAGGAACCUGAGAAUGUCCUUGAUCUCCGCAUGACUGGCGCGUAUGUCGGGUACAUAAGUUUAACCCGUGUUGAGUCUGACUGCUUCUUUCCAUGUUCAAUGCCAACACUUAGUCAUAUCUAUAUAUGUACACACACACAUAGAUACACGUGCAUAUAAUCUACCUACUGUGACAGCCAGUCCUGCCAGGUCUCUGCCGCUGCUCUCAACCCACUUCUGUACAUUCCUGGUAGCUCAGCAACAGGAGACCUCUUCCCUACGUGGAACCAAGAUGAACUCUAACCCCCUCAGCAUAGGUGCCAUAGCUUUCACCAUCAGACCCUUCCCUCUCAGCAAGCCCAUCUGCUGCUUUGUACCUCUGUCCCUCCACGCUGGGCCUUCCUGCACCUCAGGGGCUUAGUGAACGCUGCUGUCUGACUCAACCUGUCCUUCCCAGCUCCUGCUCUUGGCGCAGGGGUGCCCUGUGGGGAGCUGCUCAGCGCCACGUCUAGAGCCCCUUUCCCAGCUACCCGGACGCCUUUGUUUUCUGCAUUGCUUCUCUCAAGGUAUAACUUUAUUUAUUUAUUUAGGUUUUCCCACACUAGAAUGUGUGAGGAAUGACAAUGUCUGGAUGUCUGGGUUCUUCAGCAUUGUAUUCUCAGCCCCCAGCACAGUAAUUGACACAUACUAGGCGCACAAUAAACUCCCAUUGAACGAAUGAAUCAAUGAAUGCAUUUGCUAAUUUUUCUCUUGGUGGUUCCACAGUAUUGAUUCCUAUGAGUUCUUUAUAUGUUGAAACCACUAACCAUUUGUUUAUUCUGUAUGCUUACAUGCAUUUUGUCCCUCUUCAGAUGUGUGCCAAUUUCUUUCAUGAUGUCUUUGAUAUACAGAAAUAUUGCAUUUUAAGUUCAGAUGAAUCCAUUAUUCCCAUGAUUCUGCAUUUGGUGAAACGUUUAAAGAGUGUCUCUAUCCUAAUGUUAUAUAAAUAGUUGUCUGUGUUUCCUUUCAUUUAAAAUUUUUUAGAUUUGAAUCUUCAAAUGGAAUUUAUUUUUGAUAUAGGUGUAAUUAAGAGUCUAAGUAUUUAUUUAGUUCUUGCAUCGUGAUUUUCUACUGUUUUGAAAACUCCAUGUUUAUGAAAUAUUAAAUUCUUACACAUACUUGGAAUGGUUUCUGGCUUUAUUGCUCAGUUGUUUGUUCCUGGCUCCUGGACAUGCCGUUGCAAUCACUGCUGCCUUGUUACUUGCAUAACUUUGUGUUUAACUCUUCGCUGGAGUGUAUGUUACUCUUUUCAACGUACUUUUGGCUGUACUUUUUAUUCUUCUUAAUAUGCUUUGGCUAUGCUUUUAAAUCACAUUUGGUGAGAAAUUCUAUUGGCCUUUUGUUUAGAAUUGCUUUAACACUGCAGAAUGUUACCUGGGGGAGAAUGUGCAUCUUUGUGAUAGAGAGUGUCCUGCUCAGGGAUAUGUCCCAGGUCAAGGUUACUGAGACAGCCUACGUGGUCUGCAGUAAUUUUGUGUAUCUUGUCUGUUUCUUUAUUAGUGGCAUUAUUAGUAUUUCAUAUCUUUGUUGCUGUGUGAGUGGAGUCCAUUUUUCCUUGUUUGUUUGUUUGUUUUGUUGUAACUGGUUGCUCCCUAAAGGGUCAAGCUAUUGAUUGAUUGUGUGUGUGUGUUUGGUAACUUUUCUGAAUUUUUUGGUUUAUUAUCCUAGUUGAUUCUCUUCUGAGUAGCAAAUCAUUGUAGGUGUAAUUGAUGAUAGUUUUUUUCCUCUUUAUAACAUUUUUACCUCAUAUAGUAAAUAAAUUUUCCCUUACUAACUUUUUAAAGGAAUGCCUAAUAUUUUUCAUCAGCAUUUUUCUUAGAAUGAUACAUUGAAAUUGUGCAUGUUUAAGCAGAAUCACCAGUUUUUAGUGUUAGCCCUCGGACUGAAUUACAUAUCUUUAUCUGCUUAAGGACAUAAUUUCCUAGUUCACAUGUACUAAGCAUUUUCUUGGCCAUUGUUGAAUUAUAUAAAAUAUACUGUUAGCAAAUGGAGAUUAUCAUAUGAUUUUGCUUCCAUGGCCCAUCGUCACAAUACAUUUUUAGUAGGUUUUCUUUGUAUUGCAUUGUUUCUGCAUGAAAUCCUUUCUGCUUCUUCCUAAUGACUCUUCUCACUCCAUUUAAAAAUUUUUACAUUUUUAUAUUUUACCUUUGUAAACUUUAAAAAAGUUUCCGUCUUGUUGUAUGCUCUUGGUUAAUACAUAGUAUAGGAAUUGCCUACUUGAAAGGUUUUGUAAAAGCCCACCUAGACACUGUUUAAGCCUCGGCUCUUUCAGAGUGAGUAGUAAAGAAUUCUCAGAAAACUUUAAAAUAUUUUCUAUGGUAUUGGGAUAGGUAGGUUAACUACUACUUAUUGAGUGUCAAUUUAAAAAGAUAUAUUUUUAAACAAAAUAGUACAUUUUCAUAGAAUUUAAAGAUUUAUUAGCAGAUUUCUAUAUGUAAUGAUAGCUAUGAUAUUUUUCUCUAUGUGGUUAUAGCUUCUUUCUCAUUUUUAAUUUUUUUAUUACUUUUUUUAUUUUACUGGAUUUGCUAGUCUUUUUAAGGACCCAAAAUUUGGAUAUUUUACCGACUUUUCAUCUUUAAUUUUUUUACUUAUUUUUUUGUAGUUUUUUUUGUUGUUUUGUGAUUUUUUUUUUUUUUUUGCAAUUGAUCACCUACUUCACUGAUUUUUAUUUCUUAUUUAAUAGCAGGGCAAUUAAUGCUAUAAAUUUACCUCUGGGCACAGCUUUGACUGCAUUUUAAAAGUUUUGGUAUUGCAUGCAAGCACUAGGCAGGACUCCUUGUUACAAGACCUACAAACAGCACCAGCUCAUGGCAAGUAUUCUAAUUACUUACAAUAGCGAUUUAGUAUAUCCGUAAUUAUUUACUGGAAUUGUAAUUUCUACAAUGUCCUAGUUACUUGUAUAAGAGACAAGAAGCAGCAUUUUUUUAAAAGUUUAUUAAUCAGGAACCCUCAAGUAAUAUGAAACUUAAAAGAUAAUCUAAUAACUGGAAAAACUCAAAUAUUUUGAAACUAGGGAAGCUUUGAAUAUUGUAAACAUUCUGACUGUAUCUCAAAAUUUUGGCAUCAGGGAACAUUUAAAAAUUUGCUUCAAAGUUAUGUUUCUUAUAACUACAAAUGUAAUUCAGGUACAAAAAUAAAAUUAAAACUGCCGUAACUGCAUUACAGAGAGGAAAGCA